rnacentral:rRNA from 1 species
ACAGUGGACGCGAGCAUCUUUGUUGUAAGUAAUGAAGAGCGUACGGUGGAUGCCUUGGCACCAGGAGCCGAUGAAGGACGUAGGAGGCUGCGAUAAGCCUCGGGGAGCUGUCAACCGAGCUGUGAUCCGAGGAUGUCCGAAUGGGGAAACCCAGCACGAGUGAUGUCGUGUUACCCGCGCCUGAAUAUAUAGGGCGUGUGGAGGGAACGUGGGGAAGUGAAACAUCUCAGUACCCACAGGAAGAGAAAACAACCGUGAUUCCGUGAGUAGUGGCGAGCGAAAGCGGAAGAGGCUAAACCAUGGGUGUGUGAUAGCCGGCAGGUGUUGCAUUCGUGGGGUUGUGGGGUUCAUUUUGUCAAUACUGCCGUGUUGGCCAACAGUAAGAAAUCACAGGGUUAGUGGAAGUGGUCUGGAACGGCCUGUCGUAGAGGGUGAGAAUCCCGUACACGAAAACUUUGUGACUGUUGUAAUGGAAACCCAAGUAGCACCGGGCCCGUGAAAUCUGGUGUGAAUCUGUCGGGACCACCCGAUAAGCCUGAAUACUCCCUGGUGACCGAUAGCGGACUAGUACCGUGAGGGAAAGGUGAAAAGUACCCCGGGAGGGGAGUGAAAUAGUACCUGAAACCGUGCGCUUACAAUCCGUCAGAGCCUUCGAGCAGUUUACUGCUGGGGGUGAUGGCGUGCCUUUUGAAGAAUGAGCCUGCGAGUUAGUGGCAUGUCGCGAGGUUAACCCGUGUGGGGUAGCCGUAGCGAAAGCGAGUCCGAAUAGGGCGAUCGUAGUGGCAUGCUCUAGACCCGAAGCGGAGUGAUCUACCCAUGGCCAGGUUGAAGCGACGGUAAGACGUCGUGGAGGACCGAACCCACUUAGGUUGAAAACUGAGGGGAUGAGUUGUGGGUAGGGGUGAAAGGCCAAUCAAACUCCGUGAUAGCUGGUUCUCCCCGAAAUGCAUUUAGGUGCAGCGUCGCGUGUUUCUCACCGGAGGUAGAGCUACUGGAUGGUCUAGGGGGCCCACAAGCUUACCGAAAUCAGCCAAACUCCGAAUGCCGGUGAGUGAGAGCGCGGCAGUGAGACUGCGGGCGAUAAGGUUCGUAGUCGAGAGGGAAACAGCCCAGAUCGCCAGCUAAGGUCCCUAAGCGUGUACUAAGUGGAAAAGGAUGUGGGGUCGCGAAGACAACCAGGAGGUUGGCUUAGAAGCAGCCACCCUUGAAAGAGUGCGUAAUAGCUCACUGGUCAAGUGAUCCUGCGCCGACAAUGUAGCGGGGCUCAAGUACACCACCGAAGCUGCGGCAUUCACGCAAUAGCCCCCCUUCACUCUGCGGAGUGUUGGGCAGGUGUGUGGAUGGGUAGGGGAGCGUCGUGUGGCCAUGGAAGCGGCAGGGUGACCUAGCCGUGGAGGCCACACGAGUGAGAAUGCAGGCAUGAGUAGCGAAAGACGAGUGAGAAACUCGUCCGCCGAAUGACCAAGGGUUCCUGGGCCAGGUUAAUCCGCCCAGGGUGAGUCGGGACCUAAGACGAGGCCGACAGGCGUAGCCGAUGGACAACGGGUUGAUAUUCCCGUACCCGUGUGAACGCGCCCAUGGUGAAUCAGUGAUACUAACCAUCCUGAAGCCACGAGAAGACCUUCGGGUCUCGAGUUGGUGGAUGCAUGGGACCUGAUCUGGUAGUAGCCAAGCGAUGGGGUGACGCAGGAAGGUAGCUGAGCCAGUCAGUGGUAAUACUGGUGUAAGCGUGUAGGGCGUGACCUAGGCAAAUCCGGGUCGCACAUAGCCUGAGACGUGAUGCGUAGCCGAUUGAGGCGAAUUCAGUGAUCCUAUGCUGCCGAGAAAAGCCUCUAGCGAGCUUUCACACGGCCCGUACCCCAAACCGACACAGGUGGUCAGGUAGAGAAUACUAAGGCGAUCGAGAUAACUAUGGUUAAGGAACUCGGCAAAAUGCCCCCGUAACUUCGGGAGAAGGGGGGCCCUGUCUGGUGACGACAUUUACUGUCUGAGCUGG